GGAAAAACCCAAGUCCCACAUCGGAUAGACAAGACUCUUGAGAAGAGUUUAUAAAGAGGAGGCAAUCCUCACCUUACAAGCCAGUUUUGUGAGGAUGAGUUAGGCCCCAAAUGUCUAACAUGGUAUCAGAGCUUGUCGAAUUCAAGGGCCGCAUCGGAUAGACAAGACUCUUGAGAAGAGUUUAUAAAGAGGAGGCAAUCCUCACCUUAAAAGCCGGU
rnacentral:lncRNA from 1 species